UGGCUGGGGAAUUACCGUGUAAUGCAAGGCAGCUGUUCAUGCAUCUGAAAGCUCUGCUUGCAUAGUGAAAAGAAACCUGCGCUGGGGAGAAGGAGUGUGACAGGAACAGCAGGGAUCCUGGGCUGGCUGCUCAAAGGAACGACAAUGAGGAUUUUAUGAGUCUGCAUCAGAGCCCUGUAGCCAUUCUCUCCACCACAGAAGGAGGACUCGACCCAGGGAGUGCAGGAACAUCAAAACGACGUCAGCAUUUCACUUUUGAUUCGAAGGUCUUGGAGCGUUUCAAAGGGACAGGAGCAGACUGGAGGGACAGACCAACAGGAACCUGACAAAAUCCAGCAAGGACAAACACAAGUUCUGCACUUUGGAGGUUAUCAGCAUCCAUUACCCUAAGAAUGCCAACAUGGAUGGACCUUCAGGUGGGCUCUGAAAGGGACUGAAUCCACAGGGAGACGGAUCCAGCUGGCUGGUG